AUCACCAUCACGUGUCCCAGUCCCUCAUCACCAUCCCAGCCAUCCCGUGUCCCAUUCCCUCAUCACCAUCCCAGCCAUCACGUGUCCCAGUCCCUCAUCACCAUCACGGCCAUCACGUGUCCCAGUCCCUCAUCACCAUCACAGCCAUCCCGUGUCCCAGUCCCUCAUCACCAUCACGUCCAUCCCGUGUCCCAGUCCCUCAUCACCAUCACGUGUCCCAGUCCCUCAUCACCAUCACAGCCAUCCCGUGUCCCAGUCCCUCAUCACCAUCACGUCCAUCACGUGUCCCAUUCCCUCAUCACCAUCACAGCCAUCCCGUGUCCCAUUCCCUCAUCACCAUCACAGCCAUCCCGUGUCCCAGUCCCUCAUCACCAUCACAGCCAUCACGUGUCCCAGUCCCUCAUCACCAUCACGGCCAUCACGUGUCCCAGUCCCUCAUCACCAUCCCGUCCAUCACGUGUCCCAUUCCCUCAUCACCAUCACGGCCAUCACGUGUCCCAGUCCCUCAUCACCAUCCCGUCCCUCUCUUGGCUCUCCCGGAUCCCACAUCCCUCUUGCAGUGGGGAUCCCAGCACUGCCCCAGAUGAGCCCUGGCUGGGAUCGGCUCUGUGAGCGGCCCCAGGACAGGCUGCUGGCUCCUGGUCCUGCACCUCGGGCUUCUCCCACCCCCUCAGGCGCAGGAUUUUGCUCUUCUCUUUGCUGGGCUUCCUGAGUUCGCUUCCAGCUCGUGUCUCUGAUCACUGCGGUCUCCGCAGCCAUUUGGUGCCUCUGUCCCUGCGCCCUACUUGUCAACAAACAGCCGAGGGGAUCCUUUUCCCCAUCAUCGGGGCGACGAAAGAGGACAUUGGGAAUUGCCGGCCACGGCAGCACCCAGCAGCACCCACAGUUGUGCAGCAUGGGCUGCACACCGUGCUGCUGCAGCCCCACAUCUCUGCACUGGGGGUCCUGGUUUUGCGCCCCCCUCAGUCGCUCCCAUUGCAGCCACGUUUCCCUGCCAUUCAGCAGCAGCUUCCUUUCCCUGGUGUCGCUCUGAGCUUUGCUUUGCAGGCUUCCUUCCCUUUCUCUUCCGCCCUUCCAUGUUCUGUUUGCAGAGCCAGACGUGGAGUUGCUGGCAGGCCAAAUCCCUCUGAAAGGAGAGAGCUGUAGGGGCGCGACGCCACCUGUGUGUGCACCGCCCCGUGCGGGGGGAACUCAGCAUCUCCAACUGCAUUUAGGCAAAGAGAGAGGGGCAGCGCCUGCCUGCAGCCCUCCCUGCCCAUAGCCGUAACCUCUGGGGUUCGCUGGGUGCUGCUGGAGAACCACAAGUGCGGCCCCACAGCUCAGUGAUGCUUCGGAGGAGGUCUUGAUGGGAGGAGAAUCAGAGAAUGGCCUGGGUUGAAAAGGACCACCAUGACCAUCUCGUCUCAAACCCCUCCUGCCGUGUGCAGGGGUUGCCAACCACCAGACCAGGCUGCCCGGAGCCUGGAGAAUCCUUUUGCAGUUCCGUGAUGAGCUCUGGUGAUGUUUUGGAGGGAGGAUGAGAACGUUUGGGCACCGGGAGAGGUGGAAGCAGAGCAAGUGGCGGAGUUCCUGCAGCGACUGGAAGGCGUUGCCUGCUGUUGGGUCUGGUUACUGCUGAAGGAAUUGGGACUGAAACACCAAGAUCAAAGAAAGGAGGCUGAGCCGUCAGUGCCAUUAAUCAUCAGAGCGUUCCCAAAGGGUUCCGUUAGCAGCCGGGCAAACACAGCAUCCCUCUUUGCUUGGUGAGAACGCGACCUUCGUCGUGAGACGCUUCCCGUGAGAGCUGUGCCCUCGUUCUGCUGAUUGCAGCCUGCGCUGUGGGACGUGUGCUGGGUCCUGGGCUCCCUGUCGGGAGGCAGAGCUGCGACAGCCGCCGUCUCCUUGCUGCUGCGGUCCUCCAAGGUGCAGCCACAGCAUCGCCGCGCACAGGAGACGAAGAAAGCAUUUCAUUUUCCCUACAAAGCUUCUGGGUUGCGUUUGCACGGUGCGGCCCAAAGGAGCAGCGUGCAACGCUGAAGAGGCCUGGUAAAGGCAAAGCCCUGGGCGGCAUCACCCCGAAACGGGGCAGCACCCAAAGAUGGAGCAGCGCCUGAAGACAGGGCAGCUGUUUGGCCUCAGCUUGGUCCUGCUGUGUCGCUGUGAGUGUGCGGCCCUGUGGCCAAUCUCGUCGUGCGCCCACGUGAAGCCGCAGCGAGGAGCACUGAUCCAGAAGCAGCCCUGCGAGCAGACGUUGCUGCUCUGCGUAAUGCGUCAGAAGGGAGGCGGUGCUGGGCCGUGGCUCGUGAAGGAUCCCAUCCAAAAACGCUUCCCUGGCUCAGAGCAGAGCUGAGUGCCUGUGAGCGAAGCGCCAAUGGAGAAGCCAUCUUCCAAAGCUGGGCUGUAGGGAGCAGCGUCCUCUAUGGCGCAGCACUGCUGGCGGAGCAGAGCUCCCGCAGAGCAGCCCACCGUCCUCCGUGCUGAAGAGGAUGUGCUCUGCAGAGCUCUUUCCUGAGCUCGCCUGACCCUGGAAGCCACUGGACAGCAAAGGAGCCGUGCUGAGAGCCACAGAGUCCUUGCAGCGCAGCGCUGCUGCAGCUCUGCACCCUCACAGGCAGUGACAGCAGUGCUGAGGUCGCUGCAUCCGCGCACGCCAACCUUACCUGGCUGUGGGGAGAGGGAUGGCGGUGACAGCAGGGCACAACGGACAGCAGGGUCUCGCUGUGCCCGUCUGUGGGGAUUUCCAGCUCCUCUGCAGGGAUGCCACGCGCUUGUGAAGCCAACUGAAAUUCAAAGCAGCUCAGGACGAAUUGCAGCAUUAGUGGGGCAGAGUCUGCCCUGUCUGAACUCCCAUCUCAGCUCCUGGGUCCUCCCUCACGGCAGAGCCUGGAAGCUCUCAGAAUCAUUCAGGUGGAGAAGAGCUCUGAGAUCCCCAAUCCGACCCCAACCCAUCCCACUGCCCGCGUCCCCCAGUGCCACAUCCCUGUGCUCACCGAACACCCCCAGGGAUGGGGGCUCCCUGC